GACGAACGCUGGCGGCGUGCUUAACACAUGCAAGUCGAACGGAAAGGCCCUGCUUUUGUGGGGUGCUCGAGUGGCGAACGGGUGAGUAACACGUGAGUAGCCUGCCCUUGACUUUGGGAUAACUUCAGGAAACUGGGGCUAAUACCGGAUAGGAGCUCCUGCUGCAUGGUGGGGGUUGGAAAGUUUCGGCGGUUGGGGAUGGACUCGCGGCUUAUCAGCUUGUUGGUGGGGUAGUGGCUUACCAAGGCUUUGACGGGUAGCCGGCCUGAGAGGGUGACCGGCCACAUUGGGACUGAGAUACGGCCCAGACUCCUACGGGAGGCAGCAGUGGGGAAUAUUGCACAAUGGGCGGAAGCCUGAUGCAGCAACGCCGCGUGCGGGAUGACGGCCUUCGGGUUGUAAACCGCUUUCGCCUGUGACGAAGCGUGAGUGACGGUAAUGGGUAAAGAAGCACCGGCUAACUACGUGCCAGCAGCCGCGGUGAUACGUAGGGUGCGAGCGUUGUCCGGAUUUAUUGGGCGUAAAGGGCUCGUAGGUGGUUGAUCGCGUCGGAAGUGUAAUCUUGGGGCUUAACCCUGAGCGUGCUUUCGAUACGGGUUGACUUGAGGAAGGUAGGGGAGAAUGGAAUUCCUGGUGGAGCGGUGGAAUGCGCAGAUAUCAGGAGGAACACCAGUGGCGAAGGCGGUUCUCUGGGCCUUUCCUGACGCUGAGGAGCGAAAGCGUGGGGAGCGAACAGGCUUAGAUACCCUGGUAGUCCACGCUGUAAACGGUGGGUACUAGGUGUGGGGUCCAUUCCACGGGUUCCGUGCCGUAGCUAACGCUUUAAGUACCCCGCCUGGGGAGUACGGCCGCAAGGCUAAAACUCAAAGGAAUUGACGGGGCCCCGCACAAGCGGCGGAGCAUGCGGAUUAAUUCGAUGCAACGCGUAGAACCUUACCUGGGUUUGACAUGGAUCGGGAGUGCUCAGAGAUGGGUGUGCCUCUUUUGGGGUCGGUUCACAGGUGGUGCAUGGCUGUCGUCAGCUCGUAUCGUGAGAUGUUGGGUUAAGUCCCGCAACAAGCGCAACCCUUGUUCACUGUUGCCAGCACGUUAUGGUGGGGACUCAGUGGAGACCGCCGGGGUCAACUCGGAGGAAGGUGGGGAUGACGUCAAGUCAUCAUGCCCCUUAUGUCCAGGGCUUCACGCAUGCUACAAUGGCUGGUACAGAGAGUGGCGAGCCUGUGAGGGUGAGCGAAUCUCGGAAAGCCGGUCUCAGUUCGGAUUGGGGUCUGCAACUCGACCUCAUGAAGUCGGAGUCGCUAGUAAUCGCAGAUCAGCAACGCUGCGGUGAAUACGUUCCCGGG
rnacentral:rRNA from 1 species